GACAGAGGGUGCAAACGUUGUUCGGAUUUACUGGGCGUAAAGCGCGUGUAGGCGGCUUCGCAAGUUGGAUGUGAAAGCCCACGGCUCAACCGUGGAAGCGCAUCCAAAACUGCGUCGCUAGAGUCUCGGAGAGGAAGGUGGAAUGCUUGGUGUAGAGGUGAAAUUCGUAGAUAUCAAGCAGAACACCUGCGGCGAAGGCGGCCUUCUGGACGAUGACUGACGCUGAGACGCGAAAGCGUGGGGAGCAAACAGGAUAAGAAACC
rnacentral:rRNA from 1 species